GGCCAUACCAAAUGACUUUUGGCACAUGAGUUGUUCCUGAAAGUAGUGUGUCCACAAACGCAGGAAUACUUAAUGUUGGCUCUGCAGUUCCUUAUGUUGCUGCUUCCUUGCCUUGGUGUUCCCAAUGGCAAAUGUUCAUCUUUAUUUACAUUUCAAAGUUAUCCCCCCUACUUUGUUUCCCCUCUGCAAAUCCCCGAUCCUAUCCCCCUCCUCCCUGCUUUUAUGAGGGUGCUCUCACACCCACCCACUCCUGCCUUACUGCCCUAGCAUUCCCCUACACUGGGGCAUUGAUCCUUCACAGGACCAAGGCCCUCCCCUCCCAUUGCCAGAUAAAGCAAUUCUCUGCUACAUAUGCAGCUGGAGCCAUGGGUCCCUCCCUGUGUACUCUUUGGUUGGUGGUUUAGUCCUUGGGAGUCUUGGGCAGGGGUCUGGUUGGUUGAUAUUGUUAUUCUUCCUAUGGAGUUACAAACCCCUUCAGCUGCAAAGGUUCCUCUUAAUUCUGGUCCUAAGUAAGGAUAACGUGGAUCAAACUCUCAGCACAGGUAUACAACAUGAGUGAGCAAGAAAGCUGUAUUUUAUCUCCCCCCCCCCCCCGUGUGUGUUUGUGUAUGUAUGUGAUGCAGAAUCCAUUGGAACAGUUGUGAACCACUUUUUCCUAAGCAUUUUGUGGAUAAGUUAAGUGCACUUGGUUGAACUGUAGUGCAUCUUCACUUUAGCCACCUGAGCGUUGUGGCUUUUGAUGCAGUUCACUGACCAUUAAGAGUUGCUCAUUUUCAGUAGUUUGGAACUUCACAUUACUAAGUUGUUUAAGCAGUCUGCUUCCAGGGAAAGACAAUAAAUAACAUUAAAGUGGGGGAAACAGCACAGAUAAUUUUCUGUUCAGAUCCAGAGCAAGGGGGCUGUGGAAUGGUACACAUUUUCAUUCUUAAAUUUCUAAACAGCAGUUUAGAGAGGUGUUUGUUAGCUGUUUUAAUUAAAAGGAAGUUGAUUAGGUACACUUAAAAUAUUUUAAUAAAAUUAAUACUUUUGAUAUGUUUAAGCUAAAUAUAUCUUAGGUUUCUAGUUACUAUAAUUGACAGAUCAAUAAUAAAAUUAGUUGGAACUAAGCUAUAGCUAGUCUCUUUUACUUAAUUUUAUUCAGUCUGUACAAACAUCUACUUAUAUAUAAGCCUUCUUGUCCAGCUGCAAGUAAAGGGCCAUCCAUCUUUUGAUGGUGUUAAAGCUGGGCAGGUGUUGCAUUGCUAUUUGCUUUUUGCCCAGUGGGUGGCAGUACAAUCCAACUGGUUGCUUGCAGUUGUCUUG
rnacentral:lncRNA from 1 species